AGUUUGGCGCCUGAAAUUUGGCAAAAGGAAAAUGAGAUUUAUUUCGUAUUGGGAUGCUAAAUCGAGAUAGAUACCUCAUUCUUUUACAUUAAUUCUCUCAUUUCCUCUACUCUCUCAUAAGGACGCUCCCUUCCAUAGCAUUAUCUGAUCAUGUUAGCGGCCACAUCGAAUCGUUCUCUUCUCGAUCUUCGCUGGUAAGUGUUCUCCCUCUUCCAUCAUUCACUCUCACUCUCGCCAUGGCUCCUUCACAACCUCAUUUGUCUAUUAACAUGGCCGAUGUUGAGUAAGGACUUGAAGAUCAGCAAUCGACCAAAAUUGCAGAACUCUACAGGUAAAUGUUUCUCUCUUAUCUUUCAUCUCAAAAUGUUGGCGGAAUAUUUAUCUCCGUAUGUGGAUAAGUAAUUGUGAUGAAAAAUCAGUUGGGGAUUUUGGGAUUUGAGGAUUUUACUAAAUUAAUUUGAUGCAAUUUAUUGAUUUUCUUGAAGCCCUAGGUUUAAUUAGAGUCCUAUUAUGUUUUAUGUUUGUGAAUUAGUGAAAAAAGUUUCGUGAUUUAAAGGAAAGGAAGAGGAGACGUUGAAGAUAUGGGUUAUAAAGACUAUUGCUGAGAUAAUGAAGCUUAGAAAUGUGCACUCAAGGUGCUUGUAAAAUUAUGUGAACCAAAUCUCCAGCUUUGCUACUAGAAUUUUUUGAAGUAAAAUGCCCCCAAAUCGUGCUAGGACCAAACCAGGGCAGUGUUAAGCCCUUCCCCUUCCUCCUCCUUACCAUGAUCCUACUCUUUUCAUGCCAUUGACAAUUAUUUCCAGUGGAAUGGUUUGGAUUUAAAUAUACAUGCACACAAAUCACAAAUAUACAUGAACAUAUAUAGAAGUACAAAUAAUCAUUGGCUCCUCUUUCCUUUCUUCCAUUUGACUGAUUUGUUAAAUUUUAAUUAAUUGAGUUCAAAUUAUUGUUCAUAUUUAUUGGCAUAUACUUUGUAGAUACUAAUGCCUAUAGCACUUGUCUAUAUACUUUGUUGAUCCAAUCUCUUAAUUUUCCAUAGCUGAUAGCCGUAAGUACCUAUUCUAUAACUACUUCUCUCUCUCUCUCUCAAUCUCUUUCUCUCUCUAUAGUCUAUAAAUUAUAUAUUUAUAUGUCAGAAACCAAUUGAAGGAUUAUUGGGUGAAUUUGUAGAUGAAGCGUGCGAAGAGAUACUAAUUGUUCCCCUCUUUAUCCCUACUUAUUUAUUAUCAGGUUGAUACUACCUUUUUUCUAUGAAAAACAAUUUAAUAUAAGGUAAAGAUAAAACCAAUUCCUUGUUUAUUAUCAUGGUGGGUUGACUAACUUGUUUAUAAUCAUGUGUAUGCUUGCUGAAGCAGAAGUUUAUUAUCAUGUCUAUCUAGAUUGUCACCAGGUGGUGCUCGGAAGUUUAUUAAUCUCUGUAGAGGCAGCCAUUGUGAUGUAAUAGCUAGCAUGCUGGGUAAGUUCACCUUUUACACUGUUCACAUUAGGAUGUUCAAAUUAACCAUAUUAAUUUAUUGUGUUUUUCCAAAUUUUCCCUUUCCUAUGUAAUGAGUAAUAUUAUAUAGUGAUUGCUUUAUUCAUAAAUAUGAAUUUCAAUAGAGUGAGUACCUACAGUUUAGCUUUCACUCCUUGUCAUUAAAAAAAGGGUCAAGUAUCAAUUAAGUAAACCUUUUUGCAUCUCUCUCUCUCGCAAAAAUGCGUAGUGGGUUCUCACAAUGUGUAAUCACAAUUUGAUAAUCUACAUUACUAUGUUUAAUUAAUGGGACAUGGCCACACCUUUAACAAGAAAGUAAGUGCAUAUUGAAACCUUGUUGAAUUGAUGAUUCUGUUUUACUGGUUAUCAUGUGAUAAAAGGAUUUGAUUUUCAAGUACUUAUUUUCUUUUAUAUAUGUCUUUAUUUUUCCGGAGCAACAAAAUUAAUUGAUUUCAGUUUACAACAAAGGUUAGAGUAUACUUCUUUUUCAUUACUACUUGAUAGGAAAUUACGAUUUACAUGUUUGGUUUUUUAAGAAAGUGAGAAUGAAAUAUAAAAUAACUUAAGAUAUGCUUGGUAAGAUAUAUAUAUAUAUAUAUAUAUAUAUAUAUAUAUAUAUAUUUAUAUUUAUUUAUUUAUUUAUUUAUUUAUUUUAUCUCCACUAUCAUGUUUAAUCCAUAUGGUAAUCCUUGGCAAUGCAUUCAAUGCUUAAAAAGUUAAAUAUUUUUUUCCCUUGCAAAUUGUGUGUUGUGCCUACCCUAUGAACUUGUGUGUUUGGCUGGUUGUAAUGUAAUGCAUUCAUAAGUUGUAUCCCAUUACUUGGAUUUUCUUUCUUCUCUUUUCUCUGUUUUUGUUUCCUCUUUUUGUCUUUUGUGGUUUGAUUGUUGUUGCAGGUGGAGGAAAGAUCAUCAAACCCCACCAAAUGGAUACCAAGAAUUCUUCUUUCAAAAGAAAAACCUUCAAGAUCCCAUCUGAGAUUUUUGGAUGGGCUCAUGCUACAAGACUUCAAGCUCUUUUUAUUUAAGAUGGUUUAAGUAGUGCAUGUCCAAGUCUUUGAACCCUUUGUUUAGGAAUCUAUUGCUCAUUUUUGUCUGAGAUCUUGAAACAUUUUAUUUAAGAUACUAGCUUGUUUUGGUCCAAAUUAUUGGAGUUGAAAUUGUUUUAGAUGAGAAGACUCAUUUUUUUACGUGAUGGGCUUUAUUAUGUAUGUUGUAAACAAUACAUUUUUUGGUUGGUGUAACUUACGCAAUAUCAAGUAUUUAUUUGUUUGCAUAA